UGGCACUAGCAUCGAAGAGACAAAGCCA
rnacentral:piRNA from 1 species